ACCGGAAGGACUAGUGGAGCGCUUAGAAGUGAGAAUGCCGGUAUGAGUAGCGAAAGAAGGGUGAGAAUCCCUUCCACCGAAUGCCUAAGGUUUCCUGAGGAAGGCUCGUCCGCUCAGGGUUAGUCGGGACCUAAGCCGAGGCCGAAAGGCGUAGGCGAUGGACAACAGGUUGAUAUUCCUGUACCACCUCUUCACCGUUUGAACGAUGGGGGGACGCAGGAGGAUAGGGUAAGCGCACUGCUGGUUAUGUGCGUCUAAGCAGUUAGGCUGGUUACGAGGCAAAUCCCGUAACCGUGAAGGCGGAGCUGUGAUAGCGAGGGAAAUAUAGUACCGAAGUUCCUGAUUCCACACUGCCAAGAAAAUCCUCUAGUGAGGUGAAAGGUGCCCGUACCGCAAACCGACACAGGUAGGCGAGGAGAGAAUCCUAAGGUGAGCGAGAGAACUCUCGUUAAGGAACUCGGCAAAAUGACCCCGUAACUUCGGGAGAAGGGGUGCUCUGGUAGGGUGCAAGCCCGAGAGAGCCGCAGUGAAUAGGCCCAGGCGACUGUUUAGCAAAAACACAGGUCUCUGCGAAGCCGCAAGGCGAAGUAUAGGGGCUGACGCCUGCCCGGUGCUGGAAGGUUAAGAGGAGGGGUUAGCGUAAGCGAAGCUCUGAAUUGAAGCCCCAGUAAACGGCGGCCGUAACUAUAACGGUCCUAAGGUAGCGAAAUUCCUUGUCAGGUAAGUUCUGACCCGCACGAAAGGCGUAACGAUCUGGGCACUGUCUCAACGAGAGACUCGGUGAAAUUAUAGUACCUGUGAAGAUGCAGGUUACCCGCGACAGGACGGAAAGACCCCGUGGAGCUUUACUGCAGCCUGAUAUUGAAUUUUGGUACAGCUUGUACAGGAUAGGUAGGAGCCUUUGAAGCCGGAGCGCCAGCUUCGGUGGAGGCGUCGGUGGGAUACUACCCUGGCUGUAUUGAAAUUCUAACCCGCACCCCUGAUCGGGGUGGGAGACAGUGUCAGGCAGGCAGUUUGACUGGGGCGGUCGCCUCCUAAAGAGUAACGGAGGCGCCCAAAGGUUCCCUCAGAAUGGUUGGAAAUCAUUCGUAGAGUGUAAAGGCACAAGGGAGCUUGACUGCGAGACCUACAAGUCGAGCAGGGACGAAAGUCGGGCUUAGUGAUCCGGUGGUUCCGCAUGGAAGGGCCAUCGCUCAACGGAUAAAAGCUACCCCGGGGAUAACAGGCUUAUCUCCCCCAAGAGUCCACAUCGACGGGGAGGUUUGGCACCUCGAUGUCGGCUCAUCGCAUCCUGGGGCUGUAGUCGGUCCCAAGGGUUGGGCUGUUCGCCCAUUAAAGCGGUACGCGAGCUGGGUUCAGAACGUCGUGAGACAGUUCGGUCCCUAUCCGUCGUGGGCGUAGGAAAUUUGAGAGGAGCUGUCCUUAGUACGAGAGGACCGGGAUGGACGCACCGCUGGUGUACCAGUUGUCUUGCCAAAGGCAUCGCUGGGUAGCUAUGUGCGGAAGGGAUAAGUGCUGAAAGCAUCUAAGCAUGAAGCCCCCCUCAAGAUGAGAUUUCCCAUAGCGCAAGCUAGUAAGAUCCCUGAAAGAUGAUCAGGUUGAUAGGUUCGAGGUGGAAGUGUGG
rfam:Bacillus shackletonii strain LMG 18435 Contig8, whole genome shotgun sequence.